rnacentral:rRNA from 1 species
ACUUUGGAUGGUAGUAUAGAGGACUACCAUGGUGAUAACGGGUAACGGAGAAUUAGGGUUCGAUUCCGGAGAGGGAGCCUGAGAAAUGGCUACCACUUCUAAGGAGGGCAGCAGGCGCGCAAAAUUACCCCAAUCCUAAUACGGGGAGGUAGUGACAAUAAAUAACAAUGCUGGGUCUAUGACUUAGUAAUUGGAAUGAGAACAAUUUAAACCCCUUAUCGAGUAACCAUCAGAGGGCAAGUCUGGUGCCAGCAGCCGCGGUAAUUCCAGCUCCAAUAGCGUAUAUUAAAGUUGCUGCAGUUAAAAAGCUCGUAGUUGAACUUCAUGAGCAGUAGGUAGCUUACUACCUGCUCUCUACCAGUCUUUCGACUGUUACUGUGAGAAAAUUAGAGUGUUUCAAGCAGGCUAUUGCAGGAAUACAUUAGCAUGGAAUAACGAAUGUACCUACAAUUUGGUUAAUUGUAGAUUACUAUUAAUAGGGACAGUUGGGGGCAUUAGUAUUUAAUUGUCAGAGGUGAAAUUCU